rnacentral:rRNA from 1 species
CCUACGGGAGGCAGCAGUGGGGAAUUUUCCGCAAUGGGCGAAAGCCUGACGGAGCAAUACCGCGUGAGGGAGGAAGGCUCUUGGGUUGUAAACCUCUUUUUUCAGGGAAGAUAAUGACGGUACCUGAGGAAUAAGCAUCGGCUAACUCCGUGCCAGCAGCCGCGGUAAUACGGAGGAUGCAAGCGUUAUCCGGAAUGAUUGGGCGUAAAGCGUCCGCAGGUGGUUUUAAAAGUCUGUUGUUAAAGCGUGAGGCUUAACCUCAUAAGGGCAAUGGAAACUGUAAGACUAGAGUACGUUCGGGGCAAGGGGAAUUCCCAGUGUAGCGGUGAAAUGCGUAGAGAUUGGGAAGAACACCGGUGGCGAAAGCGCCUUGCUAGGCCGUAACUGACACUGAGGGACGAAAGCUAGGGGAGCGAAUGGGAUUAGAUACCCCAGUAGUCCUAGCCGUAAACGAUGGAUACUAGGCGUUGUCUGUAUCGACCCGGACAGUGCCGUAGCUAACGCGUUAAGUAUCCCGCCUGGGGAGUACGCACGCAAGUGUGAAACUCAAAAGUAUAGUAGGACGUGAGACGUAGUCGAACGACGCACAGGGAGGUAG